CCUACGGGAGGCAGCAGUAAGGAAUAUUGGUCAAUGGACGAAAGUCUGAACCAGCCAUGCCGCGUGAAGGAUUAGGCCCUCUGGGUUGUAAACUUCUUUUACCUGGGACGAAAAAAGGGUAGUCUUACUCACUUGACGGUACCAGAGGAAUAAGCACCGGCUAACUCCGUGCCAGCAGCCGCGGUAAUACGGAGGGUGCAAGCGUUAUCCGGAUUUACUGGGUUUAAAGGGUGCGUAGGUGGGCUUGUAAGUCAGUGGUGAAAUCUCCGGGCUUAACCCGGAAACUGCCAUUGAUACUAUAGGUCUUGAAUUAUCUGGAGGUAAGCGGAAUAUGUCAUGUAGCGGUGAAAUGCUUAGAUAUGACAUAGAACACCAAUUGCGAAGGCAGCUUACUACGGAUACAUUGACACUGAGGCACGAAAGCGUGGGGAUCAAACAGGAUUAGAUACCCUGGUAGUCCACGCCCUAAACGAUGGAUACUCGACAUCAGCGAUACACUGUUGGUGUCUGAGCGAAAGCAUUAAGUAUCCCACCUGGGAAGUACGAUCGCAAGAUUGAAACUUAAAUGAAUUGACGGCUGAGAGNGCGAGACGACGACGAGGGAGGAGG
rnacentral:rRNA from 1 species